rnacentral:rRNA from 1 species
CCUACGGGAGGCAGCAGUGGGGAAUAUUGGGCAAUGGGCGCAAGCCUGACCCAGCAACGCCGCGUGAAGGAAGAAGGCCCUUGGGUUGUAAACCUCUUUUAUCAAGGACGAAACAAAUGACGGUACUCGAUGAAUAAGCCACGGCUAACUACGUGCUAGCAGCAGCGGUAAUACGUAGGUGGCAAGCGUGAUACGGAUUUACUGGGUGUAAAGGGCGUGGAGGCGGGACUGCAAGUCAGAUGUGAAAACCAUGGGCUCAACCCCUGGCCUGCAUUUGAAACUGUAGUUCUUGAGUAUUGGAGGGGCAGGCGGAAUUCCGGGUGUAGCGGUGAAAGGCGUAGAUAUACGGAGGAACACCAGUGGCGAAGGCGGCCUGCUGGACAAUAACUGACGCUGAGGCGCGAAGGCGAGGGGAGCAAACGGGAUUAGAUACCCCAGUAGUC